rnacentral:tRNA from 1 species
GCGUCGGUGGUUCAGUGGUAGAAUACUCGCCUGCCACGCGGGUGGCCUGGGUUCGAUUCCCGGCUGACGCA